rnacentral:rRNA from 1 species
AGAGUUUGAUCAUGGCUCAGGACGAACGCUGGCGGCGUGCCUAACACAUGCAAGUCGAGCGAUCUUCUUCGGAAGAGAGCGGCGGACGGGUGAGUAACGCGUGGGUAACCUGCCCUGUACACACGGAUAACAUACCGAAAGGUAUGCUAAUACGAGAUAAUAUACUUUUAUCGCAUGGUAGAAGUAUCAAAGCUUUUGCGGUACAGGAUGGACCCGCGUCUGAUUAGCUAGUUGGUAAGGUAACGGCUUACCAAGGCGACGAUCAGUAGCCGACCUGAGAGGGUGAUCGGCCACAUUGGAACUGAGACACGGUCCAAACUCCUACGGGAGGCAGCAGUGGGGAAUAUUGCACAAUGGGCGAAAGCCUGAUGCAGCAACGCCGCGUGAGCGAUGAAGGCCUUCGGGUCGUAAAGCUCUGUCCUCAAGGAAGAUAAUGACGGUACUUGAGGAGGAAGCCCCGGCUAACUACGUG